rnacentral:rRNA from 1 species
AGGGCGGGACACGUGGUAUCCUGUCUGAAUAUGGGGGGACCAUCCUCCAAGGCUAAAUACUCCUGACUGACCGAUAGUGAACCAGUACCGUGAGGGAAAGGCGAAAAGAACCCCGGCGAGGGGAGUGAAAAAGAACCUGAAACCGUGUACGUACAAGCAGUGGGAGCACAGAGCAAUCUGUGUGACUGCGUACCUUUUGUAUAAUGGGUCAGCGACUUAUAUUCUGUAGCAAGGUUAACCGAAUAGGGGAGCCGAAGGGAAACCGAGUCUUAACUGGGCGUUAAGUUGCAGGGUAUAGACCCGAAACCCGGUGAUCUAGCCAUGGGCAGGUUGAAGGUUGGGUAACACUAACUGGAGGACCGAACCGACUAAUGUUGAAAAAUUAGCGGAUGACUUGUGGCUGGGGGUGAAAGGCCAAUCAAACCGGGAGAUAGCUGGUUCUCCCCGAAAGCUAUUUAGGUAGCGCCUCGUGAAUUCAUCUCCGGGGGUAGAGCACUGUUUCGGCAAGGGGGUCAUCCCGACUUACCAACCCGAUGCAAACUGCGAAUACCGGAGAAUGUUAUCACGGGAGACACACGGCGGGUGCUAACGUCCGUCGUGAAGAGGGAAACAACCCAGACCGCCAGCUAAGGUCCCAAAGUCAUGGUUAAGUGGGAAACGAUGUGGGAAGGCCCAGACAGCCAGGAUGUUGGCUUAGAAGCAGCCAUCAUUUAAAGAAAGCGUAAUAGCUCACUGGUCGAGUCGGCCUGCGCGGAAGAUGUAACGGGGCUAAACCAUGCACCGAAGCUGCGGCAGCGACGCUUAUGCGUUGUUGGGUA